AAGCAGUUUCAGGUAUAGAUUUUGGCACAUAUCCCAAGCUGUUCAUUAGGGUCAUAUUAGUCUUUAACAGGUGAGUUAAGAUCUCCUAAAUGAUGUGC